UUAGAAACAUGCUGAAGAAACUGAAUUUAUUCAGUACUAUACAAAAAUGGAUUUAAUUUAUGCGGACCAUGUGGAAUUAAUUAAUACAGUCUGUGUGCCCAGUCUGGAUUGUGUGAUAUUGUGCCUUCAUGUCUGCAGAAUUUGGAAGCUGAAACAUAUCAGAUCUGUUUAAACUUUCAAUACUAAAAUAAAAUAAAAUAAUUUCAUAGCUGAUGAACCAUUUGCAUUCAGAACUAUUGGCUGAUUAAACCAUUCACGCAUAGAACCAGAAAUCGUUGACAGCUGCAGGUAUUCUCGUCUGCACUGCACGGUGGAGAACAUAUUUGGAAUAGUCUCAAAGUGAAUUAUUUAGAAUAUAUGUCGUAAUGGACUGAUGAACCGCAGAACACAGCAGGACAUCCUGCAGCUGGAACAGAUCGGAUCCAUGUAACUUUCAACACUACUAUUUCGGAAUGUGUGGGUGUCAGACUAAGUUUAAUACUUUCCAUAGACAAUUUAAUGUAAAUUAAUUUUACUGGCUCGAUAUCCAUAUCAGAACAGUAUUUUAACACUGGACAUUGAAAAUGCACAUGAAACAUUAACAACCAGGCACUUCGUCAAUAUUUUGUCUUGUUAGGAGGUGCUAUGUUGCAGAGCAUGCGGAGAAAACCCACACAGCCA